AUUGAACGCUGGCGGCAGGCUUAACACAUGCAAGUCGAGCGGAGAGAGGUAGCUUGCUACUGAUCUUAGCGGCGGACGGGUGAGUAAUGCUUAGGAAUCUGCCUAUUAGUGGGGGACAACAUUUCGAAAGGAAUGCUAAUACCGCAUACGUCCUACGGGAGAAAGCAGGGGAUCUGCGGACCUUGCGCUAAUAGAUGAGCCUAAGUCGGAUUAGCUAGUUGGUGGGGUAAAGGCCUACCAAGGCGACGAUCUGUAGCGGGUCUGAGAGGAUGAUCCGCCACACUGGGACUGAGACACGGCCCAGACUCCUACGGGAGGCAGCAGUGGGGAAUAUUGGACAAUGGGCGCAAGCCUGAUCCAGCCAUGCCGCGUGUGUGAAGAAGGCCUUAUGGUUGUAAAGCACUUUAAGCGAGGAGGAGGCUACUUUAGAUAAUACCUAGAGAUAGUGGACGUUACUCGCAGAAUAAGCACCGGCUAACUCUGUGCCAGCCGCCGCUGUAA
rnacentral:rRNA from 1 species